GCUAAUCUGCGAUAAGCGCCGGUAAGGUGAUAUGAACCGUUAUAACCGGCGAUUUCCGAAUGGGGAAACCCAGUGUGACUCGUCACACUAUCAUUAACUGAAUCCAUAGGUUAAUGAGGCGAACCGGGGGAACUGAAACAUCUAAGUACCCCGAGGAAAAGAAAUCAACCGAGAUUCCCCCAGUAGCGGCGAGCGAACGGGGAGGAGCCCAGAGCCUGAAUCAGCAUGUGUGUUAGUGGAAGCGUCUGGAAAGGCGCGCGAUACAGGGUGACAGCCCCGUACACAAAAGCGCAUGUGCUGUGAGCUCGAUGAGUAGGGCGGGACACGUGGUAUCCUGUCUGAAUAUGGGGGGACCAUCCUCCAAGGCUAAAUACUCCUGACUGACCGAUAGUGAACCAGUACCGUGAGGGAAAGGCGAAAAGAACCCCGGCGAGGGGAGUGAAAAAGAACCUGAAACCGUGUACGUACAAGCAGUGGGAGC
rnacentral:rRNA from 1 species